rnacentral:lncRNA from 10 species
AUUCUGAGAACAUAGAGAUGGGCAAAUUACCAUCCUGCCCUCUAGGACCCCACAUUUCUGUUGCAGGGCAGAAAUGUUAAUGGUUACAAACAGCAGAAUGUUGUAGGUGGCAUGGUAGAGUUGGGGACUGGGUGUGGAAGGGACCACAGGAGAGAGAUGACCAUUUUAUCUUGGUCCACAACACAGAGUCUGUUACACAGUAGGCUCUUACUCCGUUACUGAACAAAUAGUGUUCGGGCAAAGCUUCAUGGAUGUGAGAACCUGGUAAUUACACAUCUUUGAUGAAAGUGUGAGAGUUUGCUUUAUGCAUCUAUGAUGAAAGAUGACAUCUUUGGUUCUUGCAUCUGUUCCAACUGGCUUUGCUCUUUUCUUGGCAACAUCAAUAACUUUUAGAUGUUGUGUGACCACAGCUGGUCUUCUUUUCAUCACAUCACCAUGUGUCCUUGCAUUCCUCACAAUAGUUCUUUAUUUCAUUCUGCUCUCCCUCCAUUGCUACCUGCUCUUUCUUCAUAAUUUUUCACUCCUACUUCAUAAAAGCCAUGUCUUCUUAUGUCCUAACGAAGACGCAAAACAGUAGUUUAGAAUUCUCUUCCGGUUCAUGGAGUACAUCACUUUCAGAAACAGGACCUUCCUCUAGACUUCUGAAUGACAUUCCAUUUUCUUUAAUCUGCAGUACUGCAGAGCUUAUCCUGCAAGAAGGAAAAUCUGUUCAGAUCUACUGGCUGCUAAAAGACACAUUGUGACUCUCUUGACUCCACUCACUGUCCAUUUGGACGUUUGUGGAAUCUCAUUUCUUCUGGGUCUUUUUCUGUCAUCCAGAUCUUGCUUUU